UACGGAGGGGGCGAGCGUUAUUCGGAAUCAUUGGGCGUAAAGGGCGCGUAGGCGGCUUCAUAAGUCUUGGGUGAAAGCCCUCGGCUCAACCGAGGAAUUGCCUUGGAUACUGUGAAGCUCGAGGCUGGAAGAGGACAGUGGAAUUCCCGGUGUAGCGGCGAAAUGCGUAGAUAUCGGGAGGAACACCAGUGGCGAAGGCGGCUGUCUGGGCCAGUUCUGACGCUGAGGCGCGAAAGCGUGGGGAGCAAACAGG
rnacentral:rRNA from 1 species